GACGAACGCUGGCGGCGUGCUUAACACAUGCAAGUCGAACGGAAAGGCCUCUUUCGGGGGGUACUCGAGUGGCGAACGGGUGAGUAACACGUGAGUAACCUGCCCUUGACUUUGGGAUAACUUCAGGAAACUGGGGCUAAUACCGGAUAGGAGCUCCUGCUGCAUGGUGGGGGUUGGAAAGUUUCGGCGGGUGGGGAUGGACUCGCGGCUUAUCAGCUUGUUGGUGGGGGAGUGGCUUACCAAGGCUUUGACGGGUAGCCGGCCUGAGAGGGUGACCGGCCACAUUGGGGAUGGGAUACGGCCCAGACUCCUACGGGGGGCAGGAGUGGGGAAUAUUGCACAAUGGGUGGAAGCCUGAUGCAGCCAAGCCGUGUGCGGGAUGACGGCCUUCGGGUUGUAAACCGCUUUCGCUCAUGACGAAGCUUUGUGUGACGGUAGUGGGUAAAGAAGCACCGGCUAACUACGUG
rnacentral:rRNA from 1 species